rnacentral:rRNA from 1 species
UACGUAGGGGGCAAGCGUUGUCCGGAUUUAUUGGGCGUAAAGAGCGUGUAGGCGGCUAGGUAGGUCCGUUGUGAAAACUCGAGGCUCAACCUCGAGACGUCGAUGGAAACCAUCUGGCUAGAGUCCGGAAGAGGAGAGUGGAAUUCCUGGUGUAGCGGUGAAAUGCGCAGAUAUCAGGAGGAACACCUAUUGCGAAGGCAGCUCGCUGGGACGUAACUGACGCUGAGACGCGAAAGCGUGGGGAGCAAACAGG